UUUUAUGAGAGUUUGAUCCUGGCUCAGGACGAACGCUGGCGGCGUGCCUAAUACAUGCAAGUCGAACGCUUCUUUUUCCACCGGAGCUUGCUCCACCGGAAAAAGAGGAGUGGCGAACGGGUGAGUAACACGUGGGUAACCUGCCCAUCAGAAGGGGAUAACACUUGGAAACAGGUGCUAAUACCGUAUAACAAUCGAAACCGCAUGGUUUUGAUUUGAAAGGCGCUUUCGGGUGUCGCUGAUGGAUGGACCCGCGGUGCAUUAGCUAGUUGGUGAGGUAACGGCUCACCAAGGUCACGAUGCAUAGCCGACCUGAGAGGGUGAUCGGCCACAUUGGGACUGAGACACGGCCCAAACUCCUACGGGAGGCAGCAGUAGGGAAUCUUCGGCAAUGGACGAAAGUCUGACCGAGCAACGCCGCGUGAGUGAAGAAGGUUUUCGGAUCGUAAAACUCUGUUGUUAGAGAAGAACAAGGAUGAGAGUAACUGUUCAUCCCUUGACGGUAUCUAACCAGAAAGCCACGGCUAACUACGUGCCAGCAGCCGCGGUAAUACGUAGGUGGCAAGCGUUGUCCGGAUUUAUUGGGCGUAAAGCGAGCGCAGGCGGUUUCUUAAGUCUGAUGUGAAAGCCCCCGGCUCAACCGGGGAGGGUCAUUGGAAACUGGGAGACUUGAGUGCAGAAGAGGAGAGUGGAAUUCCAUGUGUAGCGGUGAAAUGCGUAGAUAUAUGGAGGAACACCAGUGGCGAAGGCGGCUCUCUGGUCUGUAACUGACGCUGAGGCUCGAAAGCGUGGGGAGCAAACAGGAUUAGAUACCCUGGUAGUCCACGCCGUAAACGAUGAGUGCUAAGUGUUGGAGGGUUUCCGCCCUUCAGUGCUGCAGCUAACGCAUUAAGCACUCCGCCUGGGGAGUACGACCGCAAGGUUGAAACUCAAAGGAAUUGACGGGGGCCCGCACAAGCGGUGGAGCAUGUGGUUUAAUUCGAAGCAACGCGAAGAACCUUACCAGGUCUUGACAUCCUUUGACCACUCUAGAGAUAGAGCUUCCCCUUCGGGGGCAAAGUGACAGGUGGUGCAUGGUUGUCGUCAGCUCGUGUCGUGAGAUGUUGGGUUAAGUCCCGCAACGAGCGCAACCCUUAUUGUUAGUUGCCAUCAUUCAGUUGGGCACUCUAGCAAGACUGCCGGUGACAAACCGGAGGAAGGUGGGGAUGACGUCAAAUCAUCAUGCCCCUUAUGACCUGGGCUACACACGUGCU
rnacentral:rRNA from 1 species